UUCCUGCCCCCUAAAGGUCCUCGUUCCUCAUCUGUAGAGUAGAACUCGAGCCCAGCAUCGUGAGGCUGUUUCAGACGAUGCUCAGCAAAUCUUAUUUUAUCCCCUUGUGGGACUGAAAAGAGACGAUGGAAUAGUCCAACAAAGAAGAUUCCCUUUUGUGUCCUCAAUCUCCAGAUUGCAAGCACAGGCUUCUACCAUGGUGAGAGUCUCAGGUCGGAAUAAGCAGUGCCUGGAGGACGUGAUGUUAGCAGCUGGAUGGCCUAGAACUUCUCUCCAGUCCCACCUUUGGGUGCUCUGCGUGCGAAUGAGCAAAUCCCCUCUUUCCCCAAGAAAGCGUAACUUCUUUAGGUGCAGGUGAAACAGAGGAGAGACAGGAGGGGCCCCAAACUCUAAGAAUUGUCAAAAUUUCAAAGAGAUCACGCUUUGGGUUGUACAU